CCUACGGGAAGCAGCAGUGGGGGAUAUUGCUCAAUGGGGGGAACCCUGAUGCAGCGACGCCGCGUGGGUGAAGAAGCGCCUUGGCGCGUUAAGCCCUGUCAGCAGGGAAGAAAAUGACGGUACCUGAAGAAGAAGCCCCGGCUAACUACGUGCCUGCAGCCGCGGCAAUACGUAGGGGGCAAGCGUUAUCCGGAUUUACUGGGUGUAAAGGGGGCGCAGACGGCGAUGCAAGCCAGGAGUGAAAGCCCGGGGCCCAACCCCGGGACUGCUCUUGGAACUGCGUGGCUGGAGUGCAGGAGGGGCAGGCGGAAUUCCUGGUGUAGCGGUGAAAUGCGUAGAUAUCAGGAGGAACACCGGUGGCGAAGGCGGCCUGCUGGACUGCAACUGACGUUGAGGCCCGAAGGCGAGGGGAGCGAACAGGAUUAGAUACCCCGGUAGUC
rnacentral:rRNA from 1 species